UACGUGGGUGGCAAGCGUUAUCCGGAAUUAUUGGGCGUAAAGCGCGCGCAGGCGGUUUCUUAAGUCUGAUGUGAAAGCCCACGGCUCAACCGUGGAGGGUCAUUGGAAACUGGGGGACUUGAGUGCAGGAGAGAAGAGUGGAAUUCCACGUGUAGCGGUGAAAUGCGUAGAGAUGUGGAGGAACACCAGUGGCGAAGGCGACUCUUUGGCCUGUAACUGACGCUGAGGCGCGAAAGCGUGGGGAGCAAACAGG
rnacentral:rRNA from 1 species